rnacentral:rRNA from 2 species
CCAAUAGCGUAUAUUAAAGUUGUUGCAGUUAAAAAGCUCGUAGUUGAAUUUUGGGUCUGGCCGGGCGGUCCGCCCUCCGGGUGAGCACUGUUCCGACGCCGGGCCUAUCCUUCUGGUGAGUCGGCAUGUCCUUUGUUGGGUGUGUCGGGGAACCAGGACCAUUACCUUGAAAAAAUUAGAGUGUUCAAAGCAGGCGUAUGCUCGGAUACAUUAGCAUGGAAUAAUGAAAUAGGACGCGUGGUGCUAUUUUGUUGGUUUCUAGAACCGCCGUAAUGAUUAAUAGGGAUAGUUGGGGGCAUUAGUAUUCAAUUGUCAGAGGUGAAAUUCUUGGAUUUAUUGAAGACUAACUUCUGCGAAAGCAUUUGCCAAGGAUGUUUUCAUUAAUCAAGAACGAAAGUUAGGGGAUCGAAGACGAUCAGAUACCGUCGUAGUCUUAACCAUAAACUAUGCCGACUAGGAAUCGGGCGAUGUUAUUCUCAUGACUCGCCCGGCGCCUUAUG